rnacentral:rRNA from 1 species
CUGGCGCGUCGUCNGUAAAACGGCACGCGUCAAACCCCCGGUCGCCCGGCCGGCUGCCCNGCGGUACACGCAAGGUAUCAGGCCGCNGCGUUGCUCUCUCGAGGGCAACGCGNNANGCGUCGAGNNCGUNGCAAGCGCGCGNCNCGGUACACGGAGGCUCAACGGACCUAGUGCCGUCACCGGUCCUGGCCCGCUGUUGGUCGCACGGUUAACCUUCGACAGGCCUACGAACGUCCCCGUGUCUCGCCCCUCUCCGGGGGCGGCGCGGGGAUC